rnacentral:rRNA from 2 species
UGCAAGUCGAGCGGAUGAGUGGAGCUUGCUCCAUGAUUCAGCGGCGGACGGGUGAGUAAUGCCUAGGAAUCUGCCUGGUAGUGGGGGACAACGUUUCGAAAGGAACGCUAAUACCGCAUACGUCCUACGGGAGAAAGUGGGGGAUCUUCGGACCUCACGCUAUCAGAUGAGCCUAGGUCGGAUUAGCUAGUUGGUGAGGUAAAGGCUCACCAAGGCGACGAUCCGUAACUGGUCUGAGAGGAUGAUCAGUCACACUGGAACUGAGACACGGUCCAGACUCCUACGGGAGGCAGCAGUGGGGAAUAUUGGACAAUGGGCGAAAGCCUGAUCCAGCCAUGCCGCGUGUGUGAAGAAGGUCUUCGGAUUGUAAAGCACUUUAAGUUGGGAGGAAGGGCAGUAAGUUAAUACCUUGCUGUUUUGACGUUACCGACAGAAUAAGCACCGGCUAACUUCGUGCCAGCAGCCGAGGUAAUACGAAGGGUGCAAGCGUUAAUCGGAAUUACUGGGCGUAAAGCGCGCGUAGGUGGUUCGUUAAGUUGGAUGUGAAAGCCCCGGGCUCAACCUGGGAACUGCAUCCAAAACUGGCGAGCUAGAGUAUGGCAGAGGGUGGUGGAAUUUCCUGUGUAGCGGUGAAAUGCGUAGAUAUAGGAAGGAACACCAGUGGCGAAGGCGACCACCUGGGCUAAUACUGACACUGAGGUGCGAAAGCGUGGCGAGCAAACAGACC